GGGGAUGUAGCUCAGUGGUAGAGCGUCCGUCGAUUUGCAUGCGGAAGGCCCGGGGUUCGAUCCCCCGCAUCUCCC
rnacentral:tRNA from 1 species